AGGAAAGCAGGGGAUCGCAAGACCUUGCGCUUUUGGAGCGGCCGAUGUCUGAUUAGCUAGUUGGUGAGGUAAAGGCUUACCAAGGCUCCGAUCAGUAGCUGGUCUGAGAGGACGACCAGCCACACUGGGACUGAGACACGGCCCAGACUCCUACGGGAGGCAGCAGUGGGGAAUUUUGGACAAUGGGGCAACCCUGAUCCAGCCAUGCCGCGUGAGUGAAGAAGGCCUUCGGGUUGUAAAGCUCUUUCAGCCGGAACGAAAAGGUUACGGUUAAUACCCGUGACCAAUGACGGUACCGGAAGAAGAAGCACCGGCUAACUACGUGCCAGCAGCCGCGGUAAUACGUAGGGUGCGAGCGUUAAUCGGAAUUACUGGGCGUAAAGCGUGCGCAGGCGGUUUUGUAAGUCAGAUGUGAAAUCCCCGGGCUUAACCUGGGAACUGCGUUUGAAACUACAAAGCU
rnacentral:rRNA from 1 species